rnacentral:rRNA from 1 species
UACGUAGGGGGCUAGCGUUGUCCGGAAUCAUUGGGCGUAAAGCGCGCGUAGGCGGCCCAGUAAGUCCGUUGUAAAAGUCAAAGGCUCAACCUUUGAAAGCCGAUGGAUACUGCUGGGCUAGAGUCCGGAAGAGGCGAGUGGAAUUCCUGGUGUAGCGGUGGAAUGCGCAGAUAUCAGGAGGAACACCGAUAGCGAAGGCAGCUCGCUGGGACGUGACUGACGCUGAGACGCGAAAGCGUGGGGAGCAAACAGG